CCAAAGAGUGAGAGAUCACUCUCAACCCGCUCGGUGUCCAGACCCCUGGACUCCGAACCGGUCAGCCCUUUGUGAACCAAAAAAACCCUUUUCAAACCUGCUGUCAAACAUUGUCUGAUAACCAAAAUUUUCGAAUGAAAAUCA
rnacentral:misc_RNA from 1 species